UCAGCACUAAGCCAUUUUAUCUUUAAGGUAAAUAUGGGAUGCAGUGUAUGGAACAUCAAUAAUCUAGUAUGAAAAAUUAACGAUUUAAGUCCUUCUUAAAUGAGGCCAUUUACCCAUAGAGGGUGCCAGGCCCGUAUAACGUUAAUGAUUAUUAGAAGAUGUUUCCAAAGAGUCGUGUUGCUUGAUAGUGCAGCACUAAGUGGGUGGUAAACUCCAUCUAAAACUAAAUACAACCAUGAGACCGAUAGUAAACAAGUACCGUGAGGGAAAGUUGAAAAGAACUCUGAAUAGAGAGUUAAAUAGUACGUGAAACUGCUUAGAGGUUAAACCCGAUGAACCUGAAUAUCCAUUAUGAAAAAUUCAAUACUAAUAAAAUAGUGUGCAAUUUUUUCAUAUAAGGACAUUGUAAUCUGUUAAUGUCAUAAAUAUUUAUCAAAAGAUUUAAUACUUAAAGUUUAUUUAAAUUCAACAUAAAAUAAAUGUAUUAAAUUAGAUAAAUCAUUGACAGAUAUAAUUAUAUAAUGUGCUUAAAUUUUACGGAAUUUUGCAAUAUUGCUUGCACUAUUAUGAUUAACAAUGCGAUAGAUUCAGGAUACCUUCGGGACCCGUCUUGAAACACGGACCAAGGAGUCUAACAUAUGUGCAAGUCAUUGGGUAUUUUUAAUAAAACCUAAUGGCAUAAUUAACUUAACUGAUGGGAUUAAUUUAUAUUUAUUCAAUCCCGGGGCGUUCUAUACAGUUAUGUAUAAUAAUAUUUAUAUUAUUUAUACCUCUAACUAGAGCGUACCUUGAGCAUAUAUGCUGUGACCCGAAAGAUGGUGAACUAUACUUGAUCAGGUUGAAGUCAGGGGAAACCCUGAUGGAAGACCGAAACAGUUCUGACGUGCAAAUCGAUUGUCAGAAUUGAGUAUAGGG
rnacentral:rRNA from 1 species